rnacentral:rRNA from 1 species
AUUGAACGCUGGCGGCAGGCCUAACACAUGCAAGUCGAACGGAGUGGCGGACGGGUGAGUAGUGUAUGGGAAACUGCCUGAUGGAGGGGGCUAACUACGGGAAACGGUAGCUAAUACCGCAUACUAUCAGAUGAGCCGAGGUUGGAUUAGCUAGUUGGUGGGGUAAAGGCAUACCAAGGCGACGAUCCGUAACAGGCCUGAGAGGAUGAUCAGCCACACUGGAACUGAGACACGGCCCAGACUCCUACGGGAGGCAGCAGUGGGGAAUAUUGGGCAAUGGGCGAAAGCCUGAUCCAGCCAUGCCGCGUGUGUGAAGAAGGUCUUCGGAUUGUAAAGCACUUUAAGUUGGGAGGCGUUACCAACAGAAUAAGCACCGGCUAACUUCGUGCCAGCCGCCGCGGUAAUUC